rnacentral:rRNA from 1 species
GACGAACGCUGGCGGCGUGCUUAACACAUGCAAGUCGAACGGAAAGGCCCUGCUUUUGUGGGGUGCUCGAGUGGCGAACGGGUGAGUAACACGUGAGUAACCUGCCCUUGACUUUGGGAUAACUUCAGGAAACUGGGGCUAAUACCGGAUAGGAGCUCCUGCUGCAUGGUGGGGGUUGGAAAGUUUCGGCGGUUGGGGAUGGACUCGCGGCUUAUCAGCUUGUUGGUGGGGUAGUGGCUUACCAAGGCUUUGACGGGUAGCCGGCCUGAGAGGGUGACCGGCCACAUUGGGACUGAGAUACGGCCCAGACUCCUACGGGAGGCAGCAGUGGGGAAUAUUGCACAAUGAGCGGAAGCCUGAUGCAGCAACGCCGCGUGCGGGAUGACGACCUUCGGGUUGUAAACCGCUUUCGCCUGUGACGAAGCGUGAGUGACGGUAAUGGGUAAAGAAGCACCGGCUAACUACGUG